CCUACGGGAGGCAGCAGUAAGGAAUAUUGGACAAUGCUCGCAAGAGUGAUCCAGCCAUGCCGCGUGCAGGAAGAAUGCCCUAUGGGUAGUAAACUGCUUUUGAACUAGAGAAAACCCCCAGUACGUGUACUGGGCUGAUAGUAUAGUUAGAAUAAGCAUCGGCUAACUUCGUGCCAGCAGCCGCGGUAAGACGAAGGAUGCAAGCGUUAUCCGGAUUCAUUGGGUUUAAAGGGAGCGUAGGUGGACUGAUAAGUCAGUGGUGAAAUCUCCGAGCUUAACUCGGAAAUUGCCAUUGAUACUGUUGGUCUUGAGUACAGUUGCUGUGGGCGGAAUAUGACAUGUAGUGGUGAAAUACAUAGAGAUGUCAUAGAACACCGAUUGCGAAGGCAGCUCACAAAGCUGUAACUGACACUGAGGCUCGAAAGUGCGGGGAUCAAACAGGAUUAGAUACCCUGGUAGUCCGCACCGUAAACGAUGAUUACUCGCUGCUAGGGGGCAACCUUUAGUGGCUUAGCGAAAGCGAUAAGUAAUCCACCUGGGGAGUACGCCGGCAACGGUGAAACUUAGAGAUGACGNNGNGNGNGCGAGGACGCACGAGGGAGGAG
rnacentral:rRNA from 1 species